CUACUUAGUAAUAGCAUGUUGAAUUCACUAGUCCUCAAUGAAUCACUGAAGCUAAGCAACGUUGUGCGUGGUUGGUAUCCGAAUGGGUGGCCAUUUUGGCGAUCGCGUGUUGCUUUUG
rnacentral:rRNA from 1 species